UGCAGGCCUGUGAUAGGUUUGCUGUGGUGAUUGAUGCUGUGCUGGUGUGCGUGUGAGAAGUGUCAGUCUUGGGUUUCACUGGGGGUUGUCAAGUGUUGUUGUCAAGGUUAUAGGCAGCCAGUCUAGUAUAGAGGAAAUGAAAUCAUAUGUAAGUGGUGCAGUGGAGCAGACACCCAACUGAAUGCUGGAUCUGCUUUGGUCAAUAAGGAGCAGCUGUGGCCUGAUGAACAUGAGCCUGUGUUUUGGUGGUUACCCAGGGUGAAGUUAAUGCAUGCUCAAAGGACUGCCUCAUGGUCUCUUAAGAUUCAAUCACAGUUGGGCCGUUUAGUUUUUAAGAGCUCCCUGACAGAGGUUAACCGGCUAUAUCAUCAACUGAGCCUGUCCUCACCGACACUUCAAAGCUCCUCUGCUACGCUGCAGCUCCCCGGCCUCAGGCACAACAGGGCUUUUUUAUUGGUGAGAAGCCUGUCAAAUUGUUCUGACAGAGGAGGACAAAAGACUGACUGUGGAUUUGUGCUGAAACGGAUGUAACGCUGGCACAAAGAUGGUCAGGACAUCCAAAAUGCAUUUUGAACAAUUUAUUUGUCUAAUAAGACUCGAUCCACUAGCUCUGCAUGCCAUAUUCAUAACCCUGUGAAUAUCUGUUACAGCUGAUACCUUGCAUAUAAACCUCCCGGUGUCGAGUUCUUGUCUGAACAUGCAUGACUGAGCUGGGAGGUGGUAAAUUAGGUGAGUUGGGGGUCUGUUUGGUGCCUGGGGUCAACUCAGGGCACCGUUACAGGUGGUUGUGGUUGAACGGAGAACAUUACUGAAAUGCUUCACAUCCCUGCCUUAUCCUGUCUCCACAAUCUGUGAGUGACAGCAGAAAGGCUCUACUUACGACUGGCUAGGCUGCCCCUUUUCCUCUGUCUGUCUGUCUUAUUCUUUCACACAUACAGAUACAGGCAUUGCAGUUCACUCCUCUAUGUGGGUGUAUUCAGUUUCCUGAUUUUGAUGCAGUUUUUCACUGUCUUCAAAACCACAGAUGUUUGGUUUACAUUCCUCUGUCGAAGAACAGCAUACUGCAUACUGCGUUGCUAUUUUCUCUCACUUUUUUUUUUUUUUUUUGCCAAAAGCCGUCCCACAUUAGGAAAGUGUAACAAAUAGUUUUUCACAGCUGUAGGGCUUCAAAGGAGUGGAAAAGAUAGAUCUUUCAGAGAUAAACCAUUGAGAAACAUUCUUUAAACGUUCAUCUGAGAUCUGUUUUAAAAUGGAGGCCAUUUACAUUUUUUUUUAAAUAGCACAGUUGGCUGCCAUUUACGGCAAAUGAGAACUAUUUUUGAAUUGUCUACGCAAAUCCUCUAAUCAGCAUAAACAUUACAGAUAAGUAAAAAAAAAAAUUGGCAAGAAAGUUGAAACCAUACAAAUGUCACCUUUCCACAUAGUUUGUCUUAAAACUGAGAGGCUUAAAGUUUAGUGAAUCUCAUCUCCUGUUAAUAUUUCACCAUGAAAAAAGUUUUAAUUAGCUUAUUUCUUUCAUUAUAACAAUUUUAUGACAAUUAAGCAGAUUUUUACACAAACAUAUUACAUUACGUGUUUAUACAUUGUGCACACUGUGUAAUAAAUACAUAUAUAAACUAAAAGCUAAAUAAUAAUAAAAAUAAUAAAAAAUAUUUUAGGAAGUUGUUGUGAUUUGUUUUUGUAAUACCCAUAAUUCUCAGUGGCAUUAGCAUGGAAGCCUGUUCCGCCAC
ensembl:lncRNA